rnacentral:rRNA from 1 species
UACGGAGGAUCCGAGCGUUAUCCGGAUUUAUUGGGUUUAAAGGGUGCGCAGGCGGGAGAUUAAGUCGGCGGUGAAAUUCUGCAGCUCAACUGUAAAAGUGCCUUCGAAACUGGUUUCCUUGAGUGUAGAUGAAGUAGGCGGAAUUUGUGGUGUAGCGGUGAAAUGCAUAGAUAUCACGAGGAACUCCGAUUGCGCAGGCAGCUUACUAAACCAUAACUGACGCUCAGGCACGAAGGCGUGGGGAUCAAACAGGAUUAGAUACCCU